rnacentral:lncRNA from 1 species
GGCACAUGGAGUAGAUAGGAGACCACUCUGCUUUUCCCAGUCUAUAUGAAUUCUUUAAACGAAUAUGAAUCUAGAUCCUUUUAGGUUCAGCAGUACUCUUAGGCUGUUGACCUAGGCCUGUCCAAGAAGUUUGUCUUCCUCCUAGUCUAAAAAACUCUGCUUCUUACUAAAACUUUCUCCCUUUUUCAUCCUUCCUUCUGGUUCUUCUCACAUGCCACCUUAGAGAUGUUAUAACUCCUUGGGGGAAGCAGAGACAACAGCCUCUAUCCAGUUCUCUUCAGAAAGAUGAUGAUAAAACUUUUACACACAAUGCACUGUUCUUUCAUUUUUGCUUUUUCACUGCCUGUAUUCCUGAAUUUAACUGUUUCAGCCUCUAUCUCUGUCUCUCUCCUCUUUUUCCCUCUCUUCCUCUCUCACUUCUCUUUUUCUUGGUUCUGUCUUUCCUCUUAACUGUCUGUCUUGGGCUCCAUUCUAGCCUCUCUUUCUGAUUGGCCACCUUCCCUCUCUUCUGUCUGAUUGGCCUGUAUCCCUCCAUCACCCCAUCUGUCUGCUGGAUUCUCCCUGUCUGCCUGCAAUAAUGUAUUUGAUAGCACUUUAUAAAUUAUAAAGCACUGUGUAGUAUAAAACGCUAUUAUCACUUUGUCUUCUUUCUUUGUUUAUUGUUUUCUUUCUCUGCUUUCCUUCUCUCUCUCUCUCCCCCUUUCUGUUUGUCUGUCUGUCUGCGUCCCUCUUGGUGAUCUUGCCUGCCUCUCUGUCUCUCUGUCAAUAAUUCUCCUUUCUCUCCUUGCCAGCUUGUCUGGGUUUUUUGCCAUGCUUCUUCUCUGUGUGCUCAGUUCUUGUGUCUCUCCUUCUGUGUUUCCAGGUUCCUCUCUAUUUAUUUUAGCUGUCUAUUCUGUCUGUCCUGAGGCCUUUUAUAUGUGCCUGUGUGCCUUGCUCUCUCCAGCUGCUUGUGUCCCUGCCUGUCAGUUCCAAAGUGGGCACCACUCUGCUUUUUUCUAUCUUUCUGUACUUCAAAAAAUAAAAAUAAAAUAAAAAAUUAAAUUCCGUAUAACUAAUUGGUAGGAGAGAAUUUUUUUGUUUUUAAUGAGAAGACCAUUAAGGAAGUGAGAACAGGAACUCAGGAAUACAGCUGUCAAAUGCAAACCAGAAAUUAGAUGCCAACCCCUGCUGCUGC